GACGAACGCUGGCGGCGUGCUUAACACAUGCAAGUCGAACGGAAAGGCCCUGCUUUUGUGGGGUGCUCGAGUGGCGAACGGGUGAGUAACACGUGAGUAACCUGCCCUUGACUUUGGGAUAACUUCAGGAAACUGGGGCUAAUACCGGAUAGGAGCUCCUGCUGCAUGGUGGGGGUUGGAAAGUUUCGGCGGUUGGGGGUGGACUCGCGGCUUAUCAGCUUGUUGGUGGGGUAGUGGCUUACCAAGGCUUUGACGGGUAGCCGGCCUGAGAGGGUGACCGGCCACAUUGGGACUGAGAUACGGCCCAGACUCCUACGGGAGGCAGCAGUGGGGAAUAUUGCACAAUGGGCGGAAGCCUGAUGCAGCAACGCCGCGUGCGGGAUGAUGGCCUUCGGGUUGUAAACCGCUUUCGCCUGUGACGAAGCGUGAGUGACGGUAAUGGGUAAAGAAGCACCGGCUAACUACGUG
rnacentral:rRNA from 1 species